rnacentral:rRNA from 2 species
UACGGAGGGAGCUAGCGUUGUUCGGAAUUACUGGGCGUAAAGCGCACGUAGGCGGCUUUGUAAGUUAGGGGUGAAAGCCCGGGGCUCAACUCCGGAAUUGCCUUUAAGACUGCAUCGCUUGAAUCCGGGAGAGGUGAGUGGAAUUCCGAGUGUAGAGGUGAAAUUCGUAGAUAUUCGGAAGAACACCAGUGGCGAAGGCGGCUCACUGGACCGGUAUUGACGCUGAGGUGCGAAAGCGUGGGGAGCAAACAGG